ensembl:lncRNA
CACGGGGCUUUUUGGAGCAAGCAUCUGUUAGAGAAGCUGACACAAAGGAGAACCCGUCACGAAAGCCUCUCAUUAAGAUGUGUCAUUCACUUGAGUCUACACUAAAAGCCCCCACAUGGCACGGCCCCUGCGGAACGCUCUGUCGUAAGGUGAUUGUCCCAUGCCUGACAGUUCGACCACCACUGCUCUGCACACUUUGUUUCCUCCUGUGGGGACCACUGGCAGGCAGCGCCUUCACGUCCAUGGCUGAAGUCCAGUAUGGCUGACGGAUUUCGAAAGGAGAGGACGGACGUGUGCUUUUCUCUCCCACCUGACUGUCCUUAUUUUGGAAUUUGAAGUGGAUAAUGGAGGAGAUGGUAAUCCACACUGUACUUCAACAAGACUUAGAUACAGUUAUGGUUACCAUGUAUAUAGUCUGUUGGCUCGUCUUUCUAGCAUGGCUGCAAACUCCCUUAGAAGACAACUGAUCUCAUUCUUCCUGCUUCCCAGAGGUGAGCCCAGCCCUUAGGACCAAGGAAUGGCUCUGUAAAUGCCGGUGGAUUAAAGGUGAC